UACGUAGGUGGCAAGCGUUGUUCGGAAUUAUUGGGCGUAAAGAGCUUGUAGGCGGUUUGUCGCGUCUGCUGUGAAAAUCCGGGGCUCAACCCCGGACUUGCAGUGGGUACGGGCAGACUAGAGUGUGGUAGGGGAGACUGGAAUUCCUGGUGUAGCGGUGAAAUGCGCAGAUAUCGGGAAGAACACCCGUGGCGAAGGCGGUUCUCUGGGACGGUACUGACGCUGAGACGCGAAAGCGUGGGGAGCGAACAGG
rnacentral:rRNA from 1 species